rnacentral:rRNA from 1 species
AACGCUGGCGGCGUGCCUAAUACAUGCAAGUCGAACGCUUCUUUCCUCCCGAGUGCUUGCACUCAAUUGGAAAGAGGAGUGGCGGACGGGUGAGUAACACGUGGGUAACCUACCCAUCAGAGGGGGAUAACACUUGGAAACAGGUGCUAAUACCGCAUAACAGUUUAUGCCGCAUGGCAUAAGAGUGAAAGGCGCUUUCGGGUGUCGUUGAUGGAUGGACCCGCGGUGCAUUAGCUAGUUGGUGAGGUAACGGCUCACCAAGGCCACGAUGCAUAGCCGACCUGAGAGGGUGAUCGGCCACACUGGGACUGAGACACGGCCCAGACUCCUACGGGAGGCAGCAGUAGGGAAUCUUCGGCAAUGGACGAAAGUCUGACCGAGCAACGCCGCGUGAGUGAAGAAGGUUUUCGGAUCGUAAAACUCUGUUGUUAGAGAAGAACAAGGACGUUAGUAACUGAACGUCCCCUGACGGUAUCUAACCAGAAAGCCACGGCUAACUACGUGCCAGCAGCCGCGGUAAUACGUAGGUGGCAAGCGUUGUCCGGAUUUAUUGGGCGUAAAGCGAGCGCAGGCGGUUUCUUAAGUCUGAUGUGAAAGCCCCCGGCUCAACCGGGGAGGGUCAUUGGAAACUGGGAGACUUGAGUGCAGAAGAGGAGAGUGGAAUUCCAUGUGUAGCGGUGAAAUGCGUAGAUAUAUGGAGGAACACCAGUGGCGAAGGCGGCUCUCUGGUCUGUAACUGACGCUGAGGCUCGAAAGCGUGGGGGAGCAAACAGGAUUAGAUACCCUGGUAGUCCACGCCGUAAACGAUGAGUGCUAAGUGUUGGAGGGUUUCCGCCCUUCAGUGCUGCAGCAAACGCAUUAAGCACUCCGCCUGGGGAGUACGACCGCAAGGUUGAAACUCAAAGGAAUUGACGGGGGCCCGCACAAGCGGUGGAGCAUGUGGUUUAAUUCGAAGCAACGCGAAGAACCUUACCAGGUCUUGACAUCCUUUGACCACUCUAGAGAUAGAGCUUUCCCUUCGGGGACAAAGUGACAGGUGGUGCAUGGUUGUCGUCAGCUCGUGUCGUGAGAUGUUGGGUUAAGUCCCGCAACGAGCGCAACCCUUAUUGUUAGUUGCCAUCAUUUAGUUGGGCACUCUAGCGAGACUGCCGGUGACAAACCGGAGGAAGGUGGGGAUGACGUCAAAUCAUCAUGCCCCUUAUGACCUGGGCUACACACGUGCUACAAUGGGAAGUACAACGAGUCGCUAGACCGCGAGGUCAUGCAAAUCUCUUAAAGCUUCUCUCAGUUCGGAUUGCAGGCUGCAACUCGCCUGCAUGAAGCCGGAAUCGCUAGUAAUCGCGGAUCAGCACGCCGCGGUGAAUACGUUCCCGGGCCUUGUACACACCGCCCGUCACACCACGAGAGUUUGUAACACCCGAAGUCGGUGAGGUAACCUUUUUGGAGCCAGCCGCCUAAGGUGGGAUAGAUGAUUGGGGUGAAGUC